rnacentral:lncRNA from 1 species
CCAUGUCCACAGUGCAUAAUGGACCAGGUGCUUUAUCUCCUGAUCUUCACUCCAGUCUGGAAGGUCAUCAGCUUCAUUUCCACAAAGAUGUGGAAGCUGAGGAUGAUAGAGGCUAAGGAUCUGCCCAAGGUUGGACAGCUUGAAUGUCACAGAGUUUGUGUUCAAACUGAGGGCUUACCCCAAACUCAGAGUUCUGCCUGCUGCUGCUGUUGCUGCUGAAUAAGCACCAGGUUGUGAAUUAUUCCAAAUUUUCAAGUCACCUGUAGAGGAAAGGGGAACUAAAAGAAAAAGUGAUUUAGUCAAACAAAAAACUUCCCAAUGUAGCAUACCUUUAUGUCUUUUUGCCUUAAUUUGUGUUUCUUUUCCUAGAAUUCCGUCUGUUUAUAUCUAUUGAACACCUACUAUGUGCCAGGAACACAUAGUAAUACAAAAGACAUGAAGGCUAUGAUCUAGUAAGAGUGUAAUUGGUACAACCUCUGAAGACGGACCUUUCAUCUAGGGAGGAGCUGAAAGCCCUUUGAAGAUGUUAAUAAGAAAGAGACCUGCUAAUUAAGAUUGCUUAAAAAUAAAAACUCAUCUUCCAGUAUGUUUACAUGAUUGCUGGGAAGGUUCUGACUCAAAGAGAUUUGCUAUCACAGGUGAGUUGUUUCAUAUGUUUUCUUUCAAAAUCAUACUGUUAGAUUCCAUGUACUGAUAAAAUGGCUUUCUCUAGACAGUCACACCAGAUAUAACAAUACUAAUUCAACAAUUUAUGGCAUACUUGAUUUGGAGAUCAGACAUUUACCCAGAACAUUUUGGGACAGAGCAAGGAGCGGUGCCAUGUUGAAUAUUUGUAAUGAGUUUUAAGAUUAUCAGACAAAGCUGUAGACUAAACUCAGUGAAACAAGUUUAGAAGAAGACAAAGCAAGAGCCGAGCACAGUGGCAUGUGCCUGUCAUCUCACAGGAGGCUGAGGCAGGGAUCGCUUGAGCCCAGGAGUUUGAGACUAGCCUGGGCAACAUAGUGAGACCUCCAUCUCAAAAAAAAGAAAAAAGAAGGACAAAUCAUUCCCAGAUCUUUAUGAAAUUAUUUUUAGAGGAAAUUCAAAUAGCAAAAACUGUAGAGCUCCUUGCCUCAGUGCAUGGUGAACAGGAUGACUUUGUUAAGAGUACAAGCUUCCACCUCAACUGCCCCACAUCAAACAGACUAAAGCAAAUCCCUACAGAGAUGAAGUCAAUUCAGUGAAAUCUUCCCUAAUUCCAACUGUCAGAAUUGGUAGCACCUAACUUUCUACUCCCUGGGCAGAUAUGUUAUAAUUAAUCCAACUAUUUAGUAUGUAAAUCAUUUUUCUUAC